rnacentral:lncRNA from 1 species
UUAUCUCCAAAUCUGGAAAGUUUCCAACUAGCUUUGACUUUUCAGAGUCAAGCUUAUCAAUAAAUCUAACAUGUGUUGAUUCUUCCACAAUUUGUGUUUCUGUAUUAUAUACUCUAUAGCCUUUAGAGCGUUAUGAGUAUCCCAAUAUAAUUCACUUUUGUGCUUUAGAGUCAAACUUUUUCAGAUUAUCUUUAGUAUUUAGGAUAAAACAAGAACAUCCAAAUG